UACAGAGGUGGCAAGCGUUGUUCGGAUUUACUGGGCGUAAAGGGUGCGUAGGUGGUCGUCUGUGUCGGGCGUGAAAUCCCAAGGCUCAACCUUGGAAUGGCGCUCGAAACUGGGCGACUUGAGUGCAGGAUGGGAGAGCGGAAUUCUUGGUGUAGCGGUGAAAUGCGUUGAUAUCAAGAAGAACACCGGUGGCGAAGGCGGCUCUCUGGAAUGCUACUGACACUGAGGCACGAAAGCUGGGGGAGCAAACAGG
rnacentral:rRNA from 1 species